GACGAACGCUGGCGGCGCGCCUAACACAUGCAAGUCGAACGGAGUUAUUUUGACAGAAGCCUUCGGGCAGACGUUGAUAUAACUUAGUGGCGAACGGGUGAGUAACACGUGAGCAACCUGCCCUUCAGAGGGGGACAACAGUUGGAAACGACUGCUAAUACCGCAUAAGACCACGGUGUGGCAUCACACAGAGGUCAAAGGAGAAAUCCGCUGAAGGAUGGGCUCGCGUCCAAUUAGCUAGAUGGUGAGGUAACGGCCCACCAUGGCGACGAUUGGUAGCCGGACUGAGAGGUUGAUCGGGCCACAUUGGGACUGAGACACGGGCCCAGACUCCUACGGGAGGCAGCAAGUGGGGAAUAUUGCACAAUGGGGGAAACCCUGAUGCAGCGACGCCGCGUGGAGGAAGAAGGUUUUCGGACUGGUAAACUCCUGU
rnacentral:rRNA from 1 species